GGCAGGUGAUUCUUUGCCCUCUUUCCAAAGCACGCAAGAUCUUCAAAGUCCCACACUUGGAGCACUGUUCUCACCCUUGGCUUCUUCAUCUUCAAACUACUUGGGGGUUGAAAUCUUGGCAAUAACCAGAGUUAGGGAACUGCAGGGAUGACAAACUGGACUCAAUAAUGAGUGACUGUGGAUAGGCUGCUCAUGACUGCAGCUCAACUUGAGUAGUUUUUGUUGGGUACAAAGCCGCAGACGGGCCAGUUUAUUAAGCUCAUGGGUGAGAACCA